rnacentral:lncRNA from 1 species
CUGAAGGAAGCUUGGAGUCUGAGGGUAAAGGAGUCCAGGAAAUGUUGGUCUCCCGUGGCACAGAUCAGAACAGCAAACAUAAGAACAGAGAUGCGAGGAGAAGAGAUUCCAAACAGGCCUCUGUGGUGUGCAGAAUUCUAAGAUGGUUCCCAAGAUUCUCACUUCCUGGUGUAUACAACCUACAAAGUCCUCUCACCUUCACUGUGGAGCGACUUGUGAACAGCAAUAAGGUAGUUGCUCCCUUGACCUUGAACAAGCAACUGCCAUGUUAUGGAGAGGACCACCUGGCAUGGAACAGGAUAGGAACUCUAGGAGCUGAGGAUGGCUUCAGGUUAACAGCCAGCAAGAAAGCAGGGCCUGAGUCCUACAGCUUUAAGGAAGAGAAUCCUGCCAACAACCUGAAUCACUUUUAAGAGAUGCUGUGCUCCAGAUCAGAACCCUGUGGCAGACACCUUGAUUUUACCCCAUGAGACCCUGAGCAGAGAAUCCUGUUAAGUCAAGCCCAGACUUCUGACCUACAGAAAGUGUGGGAUAAUGAAUGGUUGGUGUUCUAAGUUGCUAAAUUUGCUGUGUAACUUGUUACACAGCAUUAAAAAUCCAAUAAUAUAUAACAGGUCGAAAUAAACUCCUGACUCUUCACCCUUAAACACCAAAUCUGCUUCUCCUCCAGUUUUCCUCAGGAAAUGGUAAUGCUGUAUGUCAGCAUAGUAAGUUUCCAAAAUCUUUAUUUAUCUUUUGUUUUACUCAAUACGUCGUAUACCACAAAGCUCAUCGAUAAAUCUGUCAGCUCUAUCUUCAAAAUAUGUCUGUAAUUCCAGCAUUUCUUACCUCUUUGACUACCACUUGGGUUAAUGCUGCCUUUGUUCUUUCUUGGGAUUAUUUCGAAAACUUCCAAACUGGUUCACCUGCUUUCCUAUCUACCUGCCAAAACCCACUCUCCACAAAGUGCUCGGAAUAGUACUCAUAAAAUGUAAACUGAGAAACAUCUUUGUUCAAAACCAUACAGCGGCUUCCAGUCUCACUCAGAAAAAACAAAGUCCUUUAAAUGGUCCACGGACAUCAGAGCAAUUCAAAGUGAGGUCGGUGGUCCACAAGCUUGUUUCCUGUCCAUGCC